rnacentral:rRNA from 1 species
AACGAACGCUGGCGGCAUGCCUAACACAUGCAAGUCGAACGAUGCCUUCGGGCAUAGUGGCGCACGGGUGCGUAACGCGUGGGAAUCUGCCUUUCGGUUCGGAAUAACUCAGGGAAACUUGAGCUAAUACCGGAUAACGUCGCAAGACCAAAGAUUUAUCACCGAAAGAUGAGCCCGCGUAGGAUUAGCUAGUUGGUGAGGUAAAGGCUCACCAAGGCGACGAUCCUUAGCUGGUCUGAGAGGAUGAUCAGCCACACUGGGACUGAGACACGGCCCAGACUCCUACGGGAGGCAGCAGUGGGGAAUAUUGGACAAUGGGCGAAAGCCUGAUCCAGCAAUGCCGCGUGAGUGAUGAAGGCCUUGGGGUUGUAAAGCUCUUUUACCCGGGAAGAUAAUGACGGUACCGGGAGAAUAAGCCCCGGCUAACUCCGUG